GACGUAGGGCGCGAGCGUUGUCCGGAUUUAUUGGGCGUAAAGAGCUCGUAGGCGGCUUGUCGCGUCGACUGUGAAAGCCCGCGGCUCAACCGUGUGGCGGGCAGUUGAUACGGGCAGGCUAGAGUUCGGUAGGGGAGACUGGAAUUCCUGGUGUAGCGGUGAAAUGCGCAGAUAUCAGGAGGAACACCGGUGGCGAAGGCGGGUCUCUGGGCCGAUACUGACGCUGAGGAGCGAAAGCGUGGGGAGCGAACAGG
rnacentral:rRNA from 1 species